rnacentral:misc_RNA from 1 species
GAUGAAGAACGUAGUAAAGUGCGAUAUGUAGUGCGAUUUGCAUGAAUCUGUGAGUCAUCUAAUCUUUGAACGCAACUUGCGCCUCUUUGAGGCAUGUCUGUUUGAGUGCCGCAUACAUCAAUGCAGCAAUGCGAUUUGACUGCUGUCCCCGGACUCGGUCUAAACGUAGCCAGAUAGUGGCCUGUGUGGGCUAGCUUGAGUGCUAAGCAUUCUCUGGGCUGGCCUAAACAGGUUAAUAACAACAUUUUAUCUUUGGCCUCAAAUCAGGCAAGACUACCCGCUGAACUUAAGCAUAUCAAUAAGCGGAGGA